AAGAGAUUAGUUAAUUAAUAACAUUAGUAUGUCAUACUAAAAUUAUUAGAAGAUUAUCCUAAUAUUUCUUU
rnacentral:tRNA from 1 species